rnacentral:rRNA from 1 species
GCGCACUGCUCAGUAACACGUGGAUAACCUACCCUGAGGAGGGGGAUAACCCCGGGAAACUGGGGAUAAUACCUCAUAGGUUUCAGAUGCUGGAAUGCUCUGAAACCGAAAUGCUCCGGCGCCUCAGGAUGGAUCUGCGGCCGAUUAGGUUGUUGUUGGGGUAACGGCCCAACAAGCCCGUCAUCGGUACGGGUUGUGAGAGCAAGAGCCCGGAGAUGGAUUCUGAGACACCAAUCCAGGCCCUACGGGGCGCAGCAGGCGCGAAACCUUUACAAUGCGAGCAAUCGUGAUAAGGGAACCCCGAGUGCCUGAAACCAGGCUGUUCAGGUGUUUAAAAAGCACCUGGAGAAAGGGCCGGGCAAGACCGGUGCCAGCCGCCGCGGUAAUACCGGCGGCUCGAGUGGUGGCCGCUAUUAUUGGGCUUAAAGCGUUCGUAGCUGGGUUGUUAAGUCUCUUGGGAAAUCUCACGGCUCAACCGUGAGGCGACUAAGAGAUACUGGCAAUCUUGGGACCGGGAGAGGUGAGAGGUACUCCAGGGGUAGGAGUGAAAUCCUGUAAUCCUUGGGGGACCACCGGUGGCGAAGGCGUCUCACCAGAACG